rnacentral:misc_RNA from 1 species
GAUAAUAUUAAUAAGACUUUUUUGUCUUAAUGUAUAUGAAUUUGUAAAGGAAAGAGGAAUACCCAAUAUAUUGGUUUUGGUUUUUCCGACCAUUAUAUUGGGUAACUCAAUUGGGUACCCAGGGGUCUUGAAAACCCUUCGUUGGGUAUUGGAUUUGUUUGGUCAAGAUGUUGUGUUGGUUUUGGUCUUGAAAAUCUCUUGAUUUGAUUGGGUAACUCGAUUGGGUAAGCAUACCCAGAGGUCUUGAAAAUCUCUUGAUUGGGUAUUGGGUUUGUUUGGUCAAGAUAUUGUGUUGGUAAAGAUACCCAAUAUUGUGUUGGUAAAGAUACCCAGGGGUCUAUAAAACCCGGUACCGGUACCGGGGGGUCUCGAAAACCCCUCGAUUKGGUAAGCAUACUCAGUUGGUCUAAAAACCCAAUAUGGUAAGGAAAGAAAAGUCAUUGAUCUAGAAAAAUUAAGCAAUAUGGUAAGGAAAGAGAAAUACUUAAUAUAUGGGUCUUCAAAAUCCAUGGGUAUUUCUCUUUUUUUUUUUGCUUUGUUUGAUCCCUAUUUUUGUUUUCUUCUUCAUUACAGAUUUAUUAUCGUUAUCGUUUCCUGCAUCUCUCGCGAAAUUCCGGGUAGGCGCGAAUUCUCCCAAUUUGUGACCUAUCAUAGAAUCUGUUAUAUAAAUAGGGAAAUGUUCCUUUCCAUUAUGAAUACCGAUUGUAUGGCCAACCAUUGGGGGUAUAAUGGUAGAUGCCCGAGACCAAGUGACUAUUAUUUCUUUCUCCUCCCCCAUUUUUAUUUUUUGAAUUUUUUCUGAUAAAUGCUUAGCUACAAAUCUUUCUUUUGCUACAAAUCUUUCUCUUUCUUUUGCUACAAAUCUUUUUUUUUGAUGUAUCACAGCUGAUUACUCCUUUUUUUCCAUGUUUGUUAAAGAUUGGCAUUCUAUGUCCAAUAUCUCGAUCUAAG